rnacentral:lncRNA from 1 species
GGCUCAAAACCCCAGAAAAGGGGUCCUGAGGGCUGGGGGGAGCAGUUCCCAGUGCCCUCCCAGUUCCCUCCCAGUUCCCUCCCAGUUCCCAGACUGGCCUUUGCCGCGAUUCGGGGUCGGGGUUGGUGUUGUCGACGACAACGGGGCGGCCCCGAGCCAGGGCAGCCGAGCAGGCGGAGACGCAGCGCUGCCACGAGCCCAGCGUGUCCUGGGGGUUACCGGGGGUGUCUCAGAGCUCGCUCUGGGCCAGGCUGCCCGAACAGCCACAGACACAGCGUGGCCGUCAGCCCACAGCGCCCUGGAGCUCACACGGGGGUCAGCAGCUCACCCUGUUCACGUACUCAUAUCCUGCGGGAAUCAGGUGCCGCUUCACGAAAGUGGAUUUGCCGGCUGAAGGGAAAAAAAAAAUCUUCCUUUUUCCUCUCACAUUUCCUACAAUUUUCCAGUUUUCAACCCUUUUUUCCCUCCUCACGUUUCCCACAUUUUUCCCCUCACAUUCCCCCUUUUACCCCUCACAUUUCCUACCCUUUUCCCUUCAGGUUUCCCACCCUCUUCUCCCCUCAUGUUUCUCGCCCUUUUCUCCCCUCACAUUUCUCACUUUUCCCCUCACAUUCCCCCUUUUCCCCUCACGUUUCCCGCUCUUUUCCCCCCUCACGUUUCCCACCAUUUUCUCCCCUCAUGUUCCCCACCAUUUUCUCCCCUCACGUUUCCCGCUCUUUUCCCCCCUCACGUUUCCCGCCCUUUUCUCCCCUCACAUUUCCCGCUCUUUUCUCCCCUCACGUUUCCCGCUCUUUUCUCCCCUCACGUUUCCCGCUCUUUUCUCCCCUCACGUUUUCCUGCUCUUUUCUCCCCUCACAUUUCCCGCUCUUUUCUCCCCUCACGUUUCCCGCUCUUUUUCCCCCUCAUGUUUCCUGCUCUUUUCCCCCCUCACGUCUCCUGCCGUUUUUAACCCCUUUUCCCUCUCUUUCCAGCUGUUGGGGAUCAGAAGCCAGCGCUGGCUCAGUGGUCAGUGCAGGGGUCAGAGAUCAGUGGUCACUCACCCCCAGGGAAGCCGACGGUCAGCAGCACCUCAGGCCUGUCCGACACCAGCUCGGCCUCGGGGGGUUCCGGGGGGGCUUCGGGGUCCAGGACACGCUGGGGACAAAGGUCAAAGGUCAGGAUUGGGGACAGGCUCAGGGGUCACUUGUGGGCUCAGGGGUCACUCACGGGGUCGAAGGCCGGGAGGUCAAAGGGCGCUGGGGCCCAGCCCAGGAACUUUUCCUCAGGAGUCAGAAACCGCAGCCCCGCGUUGAGAGCGAACUGGGAACACUGGGGUCAACUGGGGGCACUGGGGGGAACUGGGGGCACUGGGGGUGA